AUUUCCUCAUCACCCACCUCCUCGAACCGCGAUUGAACCCUAGCCGUCACUCCCCGCCAGCCAUCCUCCCUGCCCGUCGGCCGCCGCCACGCCAUCACCGCCACCUACCCGACGCGUUGUGGAGGAAGCGACCAGAGAGGGAGGGCGUCGCCGGCGUGUGCGCGUGCUUCCACGGGUUCUCGUCGCGGUCGCCGGAGCCGUGGUCAACCGCGUCGGGGAGGAUGGGCGCCACAUCGCGGUCGCCGAAUCCGUUGGCUGCGAGUCCGGGCGCGUCGGAUCCGGUGGCUAUUAGGAGGCAGCGCUCGGAGGAGGUCGGACGCAAGAGGCCAGCGCGCGGAAGAGGCCGGGGCAUGGAGGCAGCGCACGGAGCUCAGUUGCGGCGACGAGCUGUGCUACUGCCUUGGCUACAACCUGGUAGGUUCAUCUCCAAUGGCAAAUCCAUAGCUUUGUGCUAAAGGUUCAGGCAGAUGGAAGCAUUAGCAAUUCCCUCGACGUAGCUCCCGAUUGGGCCUGAACCACAACCAGCUAAGGGGACAUUUCUACAGAUCGUUUCUAUCUGAUUUCCGACAUUUUCAGUUUUUGGAACACCCAGAAUGGAUAUAUUGAGUGUCCCUCUUGCUGCUAAACACAAUACAGUUGAGAUUAUGUCCCUACUGAGAUUCUUAAAGAACAUGGUACACCGGAAUAGCUUCAGAUCAAAGUAACUCAGCCGAUGGACCUUCUUAUCAUGAAACACCAUGGCAAUCGAGCUGUCGUCCGUCCAUCCCUCCCUCCUCGCGCCCGGAACCCUAGCUCGCGGCCAUGGCGACCGUGCAUGUCGCAGGCAGUGCAGGAUCUUCAGCACUACAAGUUGUGAUUUCUAUCACAUGUUUGUUUGAUACACAAGGUCCUUCCAUCAUGUACCCACCCACACAUGCAAAUGAAUUCGUUUGGUGGUUAUAUCUUGAGUGGCAUCUGAAUACACAAGCGUGACUAAUAGUAAGCGUGAGUGCUAGAGAAGUCCCCAUUUAGCAUGAUGGAGAGCAGGAUUGUCCCCAUUUGUAUUUGGUUCACACAGUUGUAGCUUCCUUUUUCUACGGGUUGCAAUGAUAUGGCUUGGUCGCGGCUUAGGCCAGACAGAGAUGAUCCAGUACUAAUUAAGCAUCAUUGAUAAAUAACAAGAGGGGCAUGUGAGGAGCUCUGUCUUGCUUGUAAUAGCUAAACUAUUGUUACCUACUUAAUGAGAUCCAUCGUCGAUCUGCUCUA